UAUUAAGCGGAGGAAAAGAAACUAACCAGGAUUCCCUCAGUAGCUGCGAGCGAACAGGGAAGAGCCCAGCACCGAAUCCCGCGGCCGGCAUCGGACGCCGGGAAAUGUGGUGUUAGGGAGGAUCCAUUAUACCGAGGUUUUGCGACGCGUCCAAGUCCUUCUUGAACGGGGCCAUUACCCAUAGAGGGUGCCAGGCCCGUAGUGACCGUCGCUGGCCGCGGUAGGAUCUCUCCUCAGAGUCGGGUUGCUUGAGAGUGCAGCCCUAAGUGGGUGGUAAACUCCAUCUAAGGCUAAAUAUGACCACGAGACCGAUAGCGAACAAGUACCGUGAGGGAAAGUUGAAAAGCACUUUGAAGAGAGAGUUCAAGAGUACGUGAAACCGUUCAGGGGUAAACCUGAGAAACCCGAAAGGUCGGCGGGGAAAUUCAUGCGUGUCUCCGUUGUCGGUGCGGAGCGGUGGCGCGACGCUCGCUUUUCGGAGCGAGCGCGCCCUCCGUUUUGCAGUUACGACUCGGAACGCGUGCACUUUUCCCCUGUCGGACGUCGCGAUCCGUUGGGUGUCGGUCUAAGGCCCGCGGCGGAGACCAGCCGGUCGUCCUUGUGGCGAUCGACGGGACCCGUGGUGCAUCCCGACCGACCCGCUCGACGGUGUAAAUGUGGCGCAGAGCGCGAUUCGUUUCGCGUUCGGCCCGCGGCAAGCGCGGACGAUGCGUCGGCGAUCGGACCUGGUGCCGAUUCCGACCCCGCCCGACUGUUGGCCGCGGCGUUCUCGAACAGUCUCUGAUUUCACACGCCGAUCGGCGACGCUAUAGCUUUGGGUACUUUCAGGACCCGUCUUGAAACACGGACCAAGGAGUCUAGCAUGUGCGCGAGUCAUUGGGACAACACUAAACCUAAAGGCGCAAUGAAAGUGAAGGUCAGCCUAGCGCUGACCGAGGGAGGAUGGGCGUACCUCUAGUGGUCGCUCCGCACUCCCGGGGCGUCUCGUUCUCAUCGCGAGAAGAGGCGCACCAAGAGCGUACACGCUGGGACCCGAAAGAUGGUGAACUAUGCCUGGUCAGGACGAAGUCAGGGGAAACCCUGAUGGAGGUCCGUAGCGAUUCUGACGUGCAAAUCGAUCGUCGGAACUGGGUAUAGGGGCGAAAGACUAAUCGAACCAUCUAGUAGCUGGUUCCCUCCGAAGUUUCCCUCAGGAUAGCUGGCGCUCGUGUAUCACGAGUCUCAUCCGGUAAAGCGAAUGAUUAGAGGCAUUGGGGUCGAAACGACCUCAACCUAUUCUCAAACUUUAAAUGGGUGAGAUCUCCGGCUUGCUCGAACUUGAAGCCGCGAGACCACGGAUCAGAGUGCCAAGUGGGCCAUUUUUGGUAAGCAG
rnacentral:rRNA from 1 species